AGGAUAAACGCUGGCGGCGUGCCUAACACAUGCAAGUCGAACGUCUCUUUCUUCGGGAAGAGGAGUGGCGGACGGGUGAGGAACACGUGGGAACCUGCCCUUCAGUGAGGAAUACCGGCGAGAAAUCGCCGACAAGACCGCAUAGCCCUCUCUGGUGAGAGCCAGAGAAGGAAAGCCUCGCAAGAGGCGCUGGAGGAGGGGCCUGCGUCCGAUUAGCUAGUUGGUGGGGUAAGAGCCUACCAAGGCGUCGAUCGGUAGCUGGUCUGAGAGGACGAUCAGCCACACUGGGAUUGAGAACGGCCCAGACUCCUACGGGGGGCAGCAGUGAGGAAUUUUCGGCAAUGGGGGAAACCCUGACCGAGCAACGCCGCGUGCAGGAAGACGGCCUUCGGGUUGUAAACUGCUUUCUUUGGGACGAGCAAGGACGGUACCAGAGGAAUCAGCCCGGCUCACUACGUGCCAGCAGCCGCGGU
rnacentral:rRNA from 1 species